GGGGUUGUGGCUCAGUGGCAGAGGGCUUGCCUUACACAUAGGAGGCACUGAGUUCGAUCCUUAACACCA
rnacentral:tRNA from 1 species